rnacentral:rRNA from 1 species
GAUGAACGCUGGCGGCGUGCCUAAUACAUGCAAGUCGAGCGAACGGACGAGAAGCUUGCUUCUCUGAUGUUAGCGGCGGACGGGUGAGUAACACGUGGAUAACCUACCUAUAAGACUGGGAUAACUUCGGGAAACCGGAGCUAAUACCGGAUGAUAUUUUGAACCGCAUGGUUCAAAAGUGAAAGACGGCCUUGCUGUCACUUAUAGAUGGAUCCGCGCUGCAUUAGCUAGUUGGUAAGGUAACGGCUUACCAAGGCAACGAUGCAUAGCCGACCUGAGAGGGUGAUCGGCCACACUGGAACUGAGACACGGUCCAGACUCCUACGGGAGGCAGCAGUAGGGAAUCUUCCGCAAUGGGCGAAAGCCUGACGGAGCAACGCCGCGUGAGUGAUGAAGGUCUUCGGAUCGUAAAACUCUGUUAUUAGGGAAGAACAUAUGUGUAAGUAACUGUGCACAUCUUGACGGUACCUAAUCAGAAAGCCACGGCUAACUACGUGCCAGCAGCCGCGGUAAUACGUAGGUGGCAAGCGUUAUCCGGAAUUAUUGGGCGUAAAGCGCGCGUAGGCGGUUUUUUAAGUCUGAUGUGAAAGCCCACGGCUCAACCGUGGAGGGUCAUUGGAAACUGGAAAACUUGAGUGCAGAAGAGGAAAGUGGAAUUCCAUGUGUAGCGGUGAAAUGCGCAGAGAUAUGGAGGAACACCAGUGGCGAAGGCGACUUUCUGGUCUGUAACUGACGCUGAUGUGCGAAAGCGUGGGGAUCAAACAGGAUUAGAUACCCUGGUAGUCCACGCCGUAAACGAUGAGUGCUAAGUGUUAGGGGGUUUCCGCCCCUUAGUGCUGCAGCUAACGCAUUAAGCACUCCGCCUGGGGAGUACGACCGCAAGGUUGAAACUCAAAGGAAUUGACGGGGACCCGCACAAGCGGUGGAGCAUGUGGUUUAAUUCGAAGCAACGCGAAGAACCUUACCAAAUCUUGACAUCCUUUGACAACUCUAGAGAUAGAGCCUUCCCCUUCGGGGGACAAAGUGACAGGUGGUGCAUGGUUGUCGUCAGCUCGUGUCGUGAGAUGUUGGGUUAAGUCCCGCAACGAGCGCAACCCUUAAGCUUAGUUGCCAUCAUUAAGUUGGGCACUCUAAGUUGACUGCCGGUGACAAACCGGAGGAAGGUGGGGAUGACGUCAAAUCAUCAUGCCCCUUAUGAUUUGGGCUACACACGUGCUACAAUGGACAAUACAAAGGGCAGCGAAACCGCGAGGUCAAGCAAAUCCCAUAAAGUUGUUCUCAGUUCGGAUUGUAGUCUGCAACUCGACUACAUGAAGCUGGAAUCGCUAGUAAUCGUAGAUCAGCAUGCUACGGUGAAUACGUUCCCGGGUCU